rnacentral:rRNA from 1 species
UAUAUGAUUAACAAUGCGAAAGAUUCAGGAUACCUUCGGGACCCGUCUUGAAACACGGACCAAGGAGUCUAACAUAUCUGCAAGUUAUUGGGUAAAACCUAAUAGCGAAAUUAACAUAACUAUUUGGGAUUAGUUUUUAGUAGCUAUUAAUUCAAUCCCGGGGCGUUCGUUACAGUUACGUAUAAUAAUAUUUAUAUUACUUUCAUAWUAGUAACUAGAGCGUACCUUGAGCAUAUAUGCUGUGACCCGAAAGAUGGUGAACUAUACUUGAUCAGGUUGAAGUCAGGGGAAACCCUGAUGGAAGACCGAAACAGUUCUGACGUGCAAAUCGAUUGUCAGAGUUGAGUAUAGGGGCGAAAGACCAAUCGAACCAUCUAGUAGCUGGUUCCCUCCGAAGUUUCCCUCAGGAUAGCUGGUGCAUUUAAAAAUUAUGUAAAAUAAUCUUAUCUGGUAAAGCGAAUGAUUAGAGGCCUUAGGGUCGAAACGAUCUUAACCUAUUCUCAAACUUUAAAUGGGUAAGAACCUCACCUUUCUUGGUAUGAAGGUAGUGGUUGUGAUAUAAUGUGCCCAGUGGGCCACUUUUGGUAAGCAGAACUGGCGCUGUGGGAUGAANCNAAGCGUAAUGUUACGGUGCCCAAAUUAACAACUCAUACAGAUACCAUGAAAGGCGUU